rnacentral:rRNA from 1 species
GAUGAACGCUAGCGGCAGGCCUAAUACAUGCAAGCCGAACGGCAAGGUUUUCAGCAAUGGGAACCCUAGAGUGGCGUAAGGGUGCGUAACACGUAUGCAAUCUACCCUUAACAGGCGGAUAGGUCCCCGAAAGGGGAAUUAAGCCGCCAUAGGAAUUUUGGAUGGCAUCAUUUGAAAUUUAAAACUACGGUGGUUAAGGAUGAGCAUGCGCAUGAUUAGUUAGUUGGCGGGGUAACGGCCCACCAAGACUUUGAUCAUUAGGGGAAC